AACGUAGGACGCAAGCGUUAUCCGGAGUUACUGGGCGUAAAGCGCGGGCAGGCGGUCGGUCAAGUCUGAUGUGAAAUCUCUCCGCUCAACGGGGAGCAGCCAUUGGAAACUGGGCGACUGGAGUCUGACAGAGGCAGACGGAAUUCCGGGUGUAGCGGUGGAAUGCGUAGAGAUCCGGAGGAAGACCGGUGGCGAAGGCGGUCUGCUGGGCAGUUUCUGACACUGAUGCGCGACAGCGUGGGGAGCAAACAGG
rnacentral:rRNA from 1 species